GAGCCGGUAGCUCAGUCGGUAGAGCAACGGACUUUUAAUCCGUGGGUCGCGGGUUCAAGUCCCGCCCGGCUCA
rnacentral:tRNA from 1 species